AUUGAACGCUGGCGGAAUGCUUUACACAUGCAAGUCGAACGGUAGAGGGGGCAACCCCUCGAGAGUGGCGAACGGGUGAGUAAUAUAUCGGAACGUGCCCAGUCGUGGGGGAUAACGUAGCGAAAGUUACGCUAAUAACGCAUACGAUCUAAGGAUGAAAGCGGGGGAGCGCAAGACCUCGCGCGAUUGGAGCGGCCGAUAUCAGAUUAGGUAGUUGGUGGGGUAAAGGCUCACCAAGCCAACGAUCUGUAGCUGGUCUGAGAGGACGACCAGCCACACUGGAACUGAGACACGGUCCAGACUCCUACGGGAGGCAGCAGUGGGGAAUUUUGUACAAUGGACGCAAGUCUGAUCCAGCCAUUCCGCGUGCAGGAUGAAGGCCCUCGGGUUGUAAACUGCUCUUGUACGGAACGAAAAGGUCUCUCUUAAUACGGGGGACUCAUGACGGUACCGUAAGAAUAAGCACCGGCUAACUACGUGCCAGCCGCCGCCGUAA
rnacentral:rRNA from 1 species